rnacentral:tRNA from 15 species
UGGCCGGGUUGGACUUCAAAACAAAGGCUGGCCCGAGCGCCCGCGGGG